AUGAACGCUGGCGGCGUGCCUAAUCCAUGCAAGUCGAGCGAACAGACGAGGAGCUUGCUCCUCUGACGUUAGCGGCGGACGGGUGAGUAACACGUGGAUAACCUACCUAUAAGACUGGGAUAACUUCGGGAAACCGGAGCUAAUACCGGAUAAUAUAUUUAACCGCAUGGUUCAAUAGUGAAAGACGGUUUUGCUGUCACUUAUAGAUGGAUCCGCGCCGCAUUAGCUAGUUGGUAAGGUAACGGCUUACCAAGGCAACGAUGCGUAGCCGACCUGAGAGGGUGAUCGGCCACACGGGAACUGAGACACGGUCCAGACUCCUACGGGAGGCAGCAGUAGGGAAUCUUCCGCAAUGGGCGAAAGCCUGACGGAGCAACGCCGCGUGAGUGAUGAAGGUCUUCGGAUCGUAAAACUCUGUUAUUAGGGAAGAACAAAUGUGUAAGUAACUAUGCACGUCUUGACGGUACCUAAUCAGAAAGCCACGGCUAACUACGUG
rnacentral:rRNA from 1 species